UACGUAGGUGACAAGCGUUAUCCGGAAUUACUGGGCGUAAAGCGCACGCAGGCGGCGCGGUAAGUCUGAUGUGAAAUCUCCCGGCUUAACUGGGAGGGGUCAUUGGAAACUGCCGAGCUUGAGGCGAUGAGAGGGUGUAGAAUUCCCGGUGUAGUGGUGGAAUGCGUAGAUAUCGGAGGAAUACCAGUGGCGAAAGCGGCACCCUGGCAUUAGCCUGACGCUCAUGUGCGAAGGCGUGGGGAGCGAACGGG
rnacentral:rRNA from 1 species